UCUUCUUCUUCCUCGCCUUCUCCUUCCUCGUCGCACCUUUGCCCUCUCGAUCGUCUUCAGCUCCCUUGUCGGUUUCCAGCCACGUAAUCUAUGUUUGUUACCAAAGGCCUCCUCAAGUGGGCGGUCAUCUGUUUGGUUGCUCAGGGCCUCACCGUUAGCGGCUACAACUACACCUCCAGGCACCGGUCAAAUUCGAACUCCCACCAUCUCAUUGCAGCUCCAAAAAGGGCAGCAACGCCUUGCCCUGCAGCUCCAGCUCCAUCACCGACCACCUUCUUCAGCCCCCCACCAACUUGUUAAUCAGAACUCGCCGUGUGACCCAUGCUUGACAUACAGCUGCUUGCACUGGUGCCCCUUGUGCCAUGAGGACAGGGAGAUGAAGGGAUAACCCCAAAGAUGUUGCGUUUAGUCACACUACAGUAUAACACUGGUCAAUUGAAGCUGCUGCUCCACUGUUAUUAACAGCCGUUAGCGGCGAUUGUUGGUCAUUGGGAGAAGUUGAAAUGUAUUGCUGAGCUACCUCAACUAUCUUCAUAACACAAGGCAGCCAGCAACCACUGAAAGCCAAUUGCCGUGUACACUCAAAAUGUUGCAGAGUGCAGGAAGUUAUGGAUUUUCUGAGUUCUGAAAGCGAAUUGAGAGUGCUGCAAAUCGGAAACGAUGUUACACGAGGUGUCUUCGAGGCUAAGGAAGUGAAGGACGACACAUUUUGUUGUAUAGUUCCUAAGUAGUAAUUAUGUAAAGGCUGGUAGUAUUGCAUUCGUUUAUUAUUUUUGCUCAUUAUUGAAAUAAGAAGCCCAAGCUGAAGAGAAAUAACAAGUUGGGUGAUAUGAAUUAGGAUUUUUUGUUGUAGGUUUCUUCUUGGUUGUCUCCUUUUUUGUCAUCCAUUUCAAUUGAGCCCAAAAGGAAAGGACAAGACAUGGGAGUGUAAAGGAAAACUAGAACAAGAAAGAACAGGUACUAGUUUGGUUUUGUUGUUUCUUUGUUUUAGUUUGUAGUUAGAAGUUGAAAUCUGAUUAUAAGAAUUGUGAGUGUAAAGAAUAAGUGACUCAAAUUCACCUAUAAUAUUUUUUUGGAAUUGUUUGUACCUUGGUUUGUCGAUUGGGGUUUUGCUACUUUGGUGUUGGAAUGAAGCAAAUAAC
rnacentral:sRNA from 1 species